GUCUUCGUGGUGUAAUUUGAAGCAUACUCGACUCUUGUACGAGAGGUCCAGGGUUCGAAUCCCGACGAGGGCA
rnacentral:tRNA from 1 species